rnacentral:rRNA from 1 species
UCCUNAGAAGUUUCCAGAGAUGGAUUCGUGCCGGCUUGCCGGAACUUAGUGACAGGUGGUGCAUGGCUGUCGUCAGCUCGUGUCNUGAGAUGUUGGGUUAAGUCCCGCAACGAGCGCAACCCCUAUUGUAUGUUGCUACCAUUAAGUUGAGCACUCNUGCGAUACUGCCUGCGAUGAGCAGGAGGAAGGUGGGGAUGACGUCAAGUCAUCAUGCCCCUUAUACGCUGGGCUACACACGUGCUACAAUGGGCAGUACAGAGAGUUGCCAACCCGCGAGGGUGAGCUAAUCUCUUAAAGCUGUUCUUAGUUCGGAUUGUACUCUGCAACUCGAGUACAUGAAGUUGGAAUCGCUAGUAAUCGCAAAUCAGCAUGUUGCGGUGAAUACGUUCUCGGGUCUUGUACACACCGCCCGUCACACCACGAGAGUUGGUUGCACCUGAAGUAGCAGGCCUAACCGUAAGGAGGGAUGUUCCUAAGGUGUGAUUAGCGAUUGGGGUG